GCUACAGUGCCUCGGGCUUUCCUGGAGGCGGGCGGCGGGAUGCUGCUCCGUUCUCCGGGUCCUCUCCUCCGGUUCUUGUCGUUUGGUCACGCCCUCAGUUCAGUCGGUUAUUGGAAAACGAUCAAGGCCCAAAGAUGGUUUACGUGGCGUUGUGGAUGUUAUCACCGUUGUUUGGUGACCGAGCCUGGAGCUUGAGCCCUGGGACGUCUUGCCAGCCGCAUGUGGUCCCGUGCCCACUUCUCGCGGUGGCGCGUUAAUCCACCUAGACUGUGCAUUGGUCCAGUCUGGGUUGACCCCGACCCGAAGUGGCCCUUUCCUUCGCGUCCUGAACUUCGCUUCUCCGUCGGUGUCUGGUCUCUUCCCGCCGGCGGGCUCUGCGGUGGCGGGAGGAGCUGUACUACUCGUGCCUUAGCGCACCCUUACUUUCCCAGGCCAGAAACGCGAAAUGCUGUCGGCCUUCCAGAGGCUGUUCCGAGUCUUAUUUGUGAUUGAAACAGUCUCAGAAUACGGAGUCCUGAUCUUCAUUUAUGGAUGGCCCUUUCUCCAGACCCUUGCGAUGCUCCUGAUCGGGACAGUGUCUUUCCACCUUUGGAUCCGCAGAAAUCGAGAGAGAAACUCAAGGAGCGGAAAGACUAGAUGCCGAUCCAAAAGGUCGGAGCAGAGCAUGGACAUGGGAACGAGUGCUCUCAGCAAGAAGCCGUGGUGGACCCUGCCUCAAAACUUUCAUGCACCAAUGGUGUUUCACAUGGAAGAGGACCAGGAGGAGCUCAUCUUCGGGCAUGGUGACACAUACCUUCGCUGCAUUGAGGUGCACAGCCACACCCUUAUUCAGCUGGAGAGUUGGUUCACAGCUACAGGCCAGACUCGUGUGACUGUAGUCGGACCACACAGGGCAAGGCAGUGGCUGCUGCACAUGUUUUGUUGUGUGGGGAGCCAGGACUCCUAUCAUCAUGCUCGAGGUGGGAGCACAGCAUGGCCGUGGGAACGAGUGCUCUCAGCAAGGAGCCGUGGUGGACCCUGCCCGAAAACUUUCAUUCUCCAAUGGUGUUCCACAUGGAAGAGGACCAGGAGGAGCUCAUCUUCGGACUUGAUGACACGUACCUUCGCUGCAUUGAGCUGCACAGCCACACCCUUAUUCAGCUGGAGAGGUGUUUCACAGCUACAGGCCAGACACGUGUGACUGUAGUCGGACCACCAAUGGCAAAGCAGUGGCUGCUGCUCAUGUUCCAUUGCGUGGGGAGCCAGGACUCCAAGUGUCACGCUCGAGGUCUGAAGAUGCUAGAGCGUGUCCGAAGCCAGCCCCUGACCAAUGAUGACCUGGUCACCUCCGUUAGCCUGCCACCGUACACCGGAGACUGAUCUCCCCUGGGAAGAGGGGAUGAGAGGAGAAGUCUUGGCUUCGCUUUUGGUGAGAAAGACAUGAAAAACACUGAAGAAAGUUUGAAUUUGUGGCCAGACCUGCCCCUCUCAGGCCUUCUAGGCAUGUGUCUGAGGGAAGUCUCCUGAGUGUUAGAAGUGUUAUUGGCAAAGCAAUCCAAUAAAAUAAGCUACCUAUGAUGCAAA
rnacentral:lncRNA from 1 species